rnacentral:rRNA from 1 species
AGUGAACGCUGGCGGUAGGCCUAACACAUGCAAGUCGAACGGCAGCACAGUAAGAGCUUGCUCUUACGGGUGGCGAGUGGCGGACGGGUGAGGAAUACAUCGGAAUCUACUUUUUCGUGGGGGAUAACGUAGGGAAACUUACGCUAAUACCGCAUACGACCUACGGGUGAAAGCAGGGGAUCUUCGGACCUCGCGCGAUUGAAUGAGCCGAUGUCGGAUUAGCUAGUUGGCGGGGUAAAGGCCCACCAAGGCGACGAUCCGUAGCUGGUCUGAGAGGAUGGUCAGCCACACUGGAACUGAGACACGGUCCAGACUCCUACGGGAGGCAGCAGUGGGGAAUAUUGGACAAUGGGCGCAAGCCUGAUCCAGCCAUACCGCGUGGGUGAAGAAGGCCUUCGGGUUGUAAAGCCCUUUUGUUGGGAAAGAAAAGCAGCAGGUUAAUACCCCGCUGUUCUGACGGUGCCCAAAGAAUAAGCACCGGCUAACUUCGUG